CCCUUCCGUAGGGUGGACCUGCGGAAGGAUCAUUA
rnacentral:rRNA from 1 species